rnacentral:rRNA from 1 species
AAUCAACGCUGGCGGCGUGCCUCAGACAUGCAAGUCGAACGCGAAAGUCCCCUUCGGGGGAUGAGUAGAGUGGCGCUCGGGUGAGUAACACGUAGGUAAUCUACCUUUGGGUGGGGAAUAACAGCCGGAAACGGCUGCUAAUACCGCAUAAUGCAGCGGCUCGACAUCGAGACAGUUGUUAAAGCGGGGGAUUCCGAAAGGAACCUCGCGCCUAAAGAGGAGCCUGCGGCAGAUAGCUAGUUGGUAAGGUAAUGGCUUACCAAGGCUUCGAUCUGUAGCCGGCCUGAGAGGGCGGUCGGUCACACUGACACUUAAAUACGGGUCAGACUCCUACGGGAGGCAGCAGUCGGGAAUUUUGGGCAAUGGGCGAAAGCCUGACCCAGCAACGCCGCGUGAAGGAUGAAAUCCCUCGGG